GGCCAAUCUAGGCUACAUAGUGAGUUCAAGGCCAGCCAGAACUACACAGCAAGACUCUGUCUCAAAAACUCAAAACCAAAAAAAAAAAAGAAAAAAAAGAAAAGAAAACCAGAAAAAGGUAUGAGCACUCAGUCUGAGGCAUGGUUUUGUUGUGAUGUGCUGACUUUGCCAGAGGGCCAAAUCAGAGGGACUGCCUGAUUUUGAACUUGGACCUCCAGAACAGUUCCUGUGGUUCCCACCAGUCAAGGAGCAGUGAUUAUUUUACUUCUUGCCUGAAGCUGUUAUAACAGCCAUGAUCUACAGCUUCAAGUUUUUAUUUCCCACGUCCUACCGUGCCCAUCUUUUGAGACUUUAAUUGAGUGACAUAAUUGAAUUUAUAUUUCAAGAAACCUCCCCUGAAGAGGAAUAUACCACCAAAAUACUAAAAUUUUUGCAAUAAGAAAAUGACUAAGACAUGGGCCAUGUGAUGGAAUAAUGAAUGGUGCUGAGAAGAGGCUGUGACAAUAGAUUCUUCAUUCUACAAACUGCCAGUGUGGGGAGCUUUACAGGAUGUAGCAGAUGGUGCCAUACUGUAGAUAUCCCAUCACUGGUAAGAUACCCUGGGUAGUUUCCAAUCACUGAUGAUUUCAGAUCUUUAAAUCUUGGAUGUCCGGGGUUGGAGAAGUCUGGUCUAUGGAUUGGCAUUGACAGCCUCUCUGAGUUGGGAUGGGAAUGAGAGAUGAAGAUUAAACUCUGAUUAACCUUGAAUAACUCAAACUUUUCAGCAGAC
rnacentral:lncRNA from 1 species